AAAAUAUAAAUAAAAAUAUUUUAUCAGUUUUUUCUUAUUAUAAUUAAAAAAGAACUGGAGACUAUAAAAGGGUAUGCAUGGAAGUCUAGAGAUCACAGAAAACACACACUUCAUUUCUUAAGAAAAAAGUUGUUGAAGUUUGAAGAGAUCAUGAGGGCAAUAUAUAUUAUCAGCAUCAUUAUAGUGAGCUUGAGCAUUUUCUCUUGUGGUGGGAAUGCUCGACUUCUUCCUGCUAAUAGAGAUUAUCCAUGGGCAAUGUUUGCCCUAAGGCUUCAAUGGCCAGCUGGAUUUUACGAGGUCAACAAUGACUGUGAUACAAAGUCUCUCCUCAACACAUUUACCAUUCACGGCCUUUAUCCCUAUAACGCGAAGGGGAUCCCAGUGUUAUAUUGUGACGGAACUGCCUUUGAUGUUAACUCUGUGAGUUCUCUCAGUCUGCAUUUAAUUUACUUCUUAAAAUCCUUGCUCUAUUGUCUAUUAAAUAUGUUUUUUUGUGGUAACAUUUAUAUAUAUCUUGAAGAGUUGGAUAUGUUUGUUUGAUAAAAAAAAUGAAAUUGUACAUGCAAUAUAUAUCCAUACAUACUCACAUAUGUUAAACUAAUUUCUCUCCUCCUUUAUUUUGAAAAUUAACAGGUAUCGGACUUUCAAGCAGAAAUGCAUCUUGCAUGGCCGAGUCAUGAAACUAAUACUGAGGACAAACAAUUCUGGGAACACGAGUGGAAUAAACAUGGAAGGUGCUCAGAAGCUUUGUUGAAGCAGACUGAUUAUUUUAGAACGGCGCUUGCUUUUAGAAAAGCAUUUGAUAUAAUUGGGCUACUAAACCAGGAAGGUAAACAUACCCAUUGAUAUAUAAUUAAAUAGUCUUUAAUUUGGUUCAUUAAUUGCUUCCUAAGGGAACUACGUACUUAAUUUAGAUUUUGUGGAUGAUUAAUUGAUAAUGUGAGUUUGAUGAGAUUACUAUUCAAAAAUGUGUAGGGAUUUACCCGAAUAACGACCUUUAUCGUCCUAAAAUGAUAAAAGAAGCAAUCAAAAAGCACUUGAAUGCUGUGCCAGAAAUCGAUUUCACCAAAAACGAAAACUCAGAAUAUGUGCUUACGGAUAUUAAUCUAUGUGUGAACCAACAAGCAACAAGGUUCGUAGAUUGCCCUACCGAUGACGCUACUGAUGACUACCGCCUCAAAUUCGUAAGACUACCUUCUAAAAUGAAAAUUGCGGAUCCGAGGACCAAUUCUAUAAUAUAGCACAAAUGGUACGGCUACAAAAUGGACUACUAUCUUGUUUAAUUAAUGCUUUUGGGAGUAUAUAUUAUCUAUGUAAAAUAGUUAUGAGUGCUAGGGUUGGCUAAUUAGUACUAUGAGGCCAACCUUUAGUAUCUCUUGAAUAAUGUCCAUGUAGCAAAAGUUUAUAGCACUCUGGCCUUGGUGUGUAUGGAUAAUUAUAAUAAAUGACUACUUUUAUCUGCAAAAAAAAAUAAAAUCCAAGUAUUUUCUUUUGUUUUUAUUUUUGAUAAGAAUUUAAUUUUAUGUAGUUUGAUGGCAUAGUUUAUCUAGGAAGCUGAUAUUUUCACAUGUUAAAAUGAUAUUUUCAAACGAGUCUCUCACAAUAUGGAUGUGGGACUUGCUCACUAUUCAUGUGAGAGGGAUUAUGUGAAAAUA
rnacentral:lncRNA from 1 species